rfam:Cryptococcus amylolentus CBS 6039 supercont1.6, whole genome shotgun sequence.
UUCUUGAUCGUAUAACGGUUUAGUAUGCUCGCUUGUCAAUUUCGUAAUUGCGCGGGAGAUCGGGGUUCGAUUCCCCGUCAGGAAG